GGGUAUAUAACUUAGUGGUAGAGCGUGUGCUUAGCAUGCACGAGGUCCUGGGUUCAAUCCCCAGUACCUCUG
rnacentral:tRNA from 1 species